rnacentral:rRNA from 1 species
UGGGGAAUCUUGCGCAAUGGGCGAAAGCCUGACGCAGCGACGCCGCGUGGGGGAUGACGGGUUUCGGCUUGUAAACCCCUGUUGCCCGGGACGAACUUCCUCUUUCGAGAGGAUUGACGGUACCGGGUGAGGAAGCACCGGCUAACUCUGUGCCAGCAGCCGCGGUAAUACAGAGGGUGCGAGCGUUGUCCGGAAUCACUGGGCGUAAAGGGCGCGUAGGUGGCGCCCCAAGUCGAUGGUGAAAGCUCGUCGCUCAACGACGAGUCGGCCACCGAUACUGGGGCGCUGGAGCACUGUAGAGGCUCAUGGAAUUCCGGGUGUAGCGGUGGAAUGCGUAGAGAUCCGGAAGAACACCGGUGGCGAAGGCGGUGAGCUGGGCAGUUGCUGACACUGAGGCGCGACAGCGUGGGGAGCAAACAGG